rnacentral:ncRNA from 2 species
GGUCAUGAGUGUCAGCGCCAAGCCCCGGCUCGCUGACCGGCAACCCUCCUACCGCGGUGGGGUGCCCCGGGUGAGGACCUGGCCCUCCGCGAGGUGCGGGCGGGCAAGCGCGGGCC